rnacentral:rRNA from 1 species
UGUAGUCUGCAACCCGACUACAUGAAGCUGGAAUCGCUAGUAAUCGCGAAUCAGAAUGUCGCGGUGAAUACGUUCCCGGGUCUUGUACACACCGCCCGUCACACCAUGGGAGUCGGAUAUGCCCGAAGCCGGCGACCUAACCGCAAGGAAGGAGCCGUCGAAGGUGGAGCCGAUGACUGGGGUGAAGUCGUAACAAGGUAGC